rnacentral:snRNA from 1 species
AUGCUCACUUUGGCAGCACAUAUACUAAAAUUGCAGUGAUACAGAGAAGAUUAGCAUGGCCCCUGUGCAAGGAUGACAUGCAAAUUUGUGAAGCGUUCCAUAUUCAA